AGCAUGUCCAAUGCUAAAAUUGUAAACAAAAUUUCUUAGCAUUAUUGUAGUAAAAAAAGUACAAGUUUUGAAGUUAAAACUUUUUUGAAAAUGAAAAUAAAUAUAUGCCUCCAAUGGUAGAGUUCUAAAUUAAAGUUCUUAAGAUUAUUUUUGAAAAACUUGUUUUAUACAAACUUGAUAUACAAGAAAUGACACAGACCAUAGAGUUGGUGUUGUUGGUGAUCUCGGCUUGUGGGUGUUGCUCUCGGCUUGUUGGUGUAGAACAGAAACUGAAAGAAGAACAGCAAUUCAAAGACAGAAACCAAACAAGAACAUAACUCAAAACCAAACUCAAACUCAAACUCAAAGAAGAGCAUAACAGAACCUCAAAGAAGAACAUAUUCAAAGAAGAACAGAACACAAACUCAAACAAGAACAGAACAAGAAGCUGAAGCAAACAUUGAAACCGGUUACAUUAAACAGAAACUGAAGUAAGAACUCAAAGUACAGAAACUGAAUAGAUGAACUCUAUAUCAUACCACACACAACCGAUUCAUAAUCAAUUUAUUAGUUAGCUAAACUCUAACGAGAUUUCAAAAAAAAAGCUAGGGGGAAACCAAAUACAUACAACAGUUCACAAGUGAAGAAAAUUAAACUAAACAAAAUCAAAUAACAGAUCUUUCUUCCAUUCAUAAUCAAUUCACUAAUAAUGACAGAUGAUUGAGCUAAUAGCAGAAGCAUUAAUUAUCUGUACUAGGAAAGAGAUCUAUCAACAAAAUAAAACGAAUGAAGCCAUCGUAGCAAACCCAGAUUUUUUAUCAACAAAAUACAAAAAAUAAUUUUCAAAUCCCUAAUUAAAAAAACAAACGAAAUCAAACGAUCGAUUCAAAGAAUCGUACGGUCGUACCUAUCUGUUUCUCGAUUCUGUGUUCUUUAGUUUGCCCAUCGGCGACGAGAAGAGAGUGAGAGAGAUAUCGAGAGAGUGAUCGUUGUUUCGACAAGAGAACGAGAGAGAGAUAUGAGUGUUUUUAUUUGUUUGCAAGUCUUUCAUGGGUUUUUUU
rnacentral:lncRNA from 1 species